UGCCCAAGAGAUCGGGAUAACACCUGGAAACAGAUGCUAAUACCGGAUAACAACAGAUGAUGCCUAUCAACUGUUUAAAAGAUGGUUCUGCUAUCACUCUUGGAUGGACCUGCGGUGCAUUAGCUAGUUGGUAGGGUAACGGCCUACCAAGGCGAUGAUGCACAGCCGAGUUGAGAGACUGAUCGGCCACAUUGGGACUGAGGCACGGCCCAAACUCCUACGGGAGGCAGCAGGU
rnacentral:rRNA from 1 species